GUAGAGGAGCUAAUACGGUUGGUGAGGCAAGCUAUCGAGGCAAUUAACCAUAAUGGUUUCGGUGGCAGUAGAGGUUAAAUCAACCAUGUAAUUUAUGUGGUUCUCCAUUCACAAGCAGGCCCUUGUAUAUGGGAAGGAAGUGAGGACCUGCGUUGCAAUUUAGUGAAGAGGCAUACUGUUAAGUGUGUUAUAUUCCUGUACAUGUGUACAAAGUGGGAUUGAUUUGCUAUUUCAUGAAAUUUUGAGAAUUCAACUUUUUGGUAUAUGAUAAGGGCACAGAUGAUCAACCUUAAAAUUUACAGGCUGGGGAUGAGGUGUAUAAAGUUUCAACUCUUCAAGGAAAAGAUUCGGAGUUCAGUUGAGAUCCAAUUUUGAAUAUUAGGGUCUUUUGGUUGGGAAUAGAGAAAAAUAGGAGUUCGGAUAUUGAGAACAUUAGUUGACAUAUCUAAGUAGACAUGAGUUUCAAUGUAGUCCCAAUGUUUCAUCCUUUACUAGAGGACUUUGAUCCUUGGGUUGCCGUAUAUAACUUCAUUUUUCCUAAUGGAACAUAAGGCACAAUUUUGGUGGAGGAAUUUAGUGGAAUUACUAUGUUAUCCGCCAUUAUUUCUUUUUACUCCUUUCUCUUUAAAUUUUUUAUGUGGUGAAAAUAUAUAGAAAAAAGUCACUGAUUCUGCCUCACAAAAGAAGAGAAAAAAGAGGGGAGGUCGUUACAGAAUUGCAUCUUUUGGUAAAUAACGGAUUGGAAAACACGGAGUUGAUUACUUAAUUCUGCAUGCCUAUAAUCAUCUUAUCAGCUUUUGAUCUCUUUUCUAAAUGAACCAAGAAAGUUGGGUGUGUGGGUCAAUUCUUUUGACAGCUUGGUAUCCGUUGGAUCUGUUGAUCUUAAAAGAACGCGCUGCAGAAGAACUUGGAAGCAUAUGAAAUCUGUUUAGUACAGUAAAUGAUAUGGGAAAUAUGCUCCUCCUGGGACACAGUCAAACCUGGUUGCUCCUUGUGUUCCAGAAAGGCAUGCCAGUGUCCAAGAUAGUGAAGGAUACUGUGGAGGGGAGAUGAUUAACUGUAAGGUGAACAGGAAACUGCUGAUUUACUGCCUCAGAGUCUCAAAUUUAGAAGAGAAGGAUUAUUGUCAACUUUUCUGCUGUGUUAAAGGAGAUGUCACUUUUAUGACUAGCACAUGUCAACUGAGUCAUGCUGGAGCAUAUUGCUGUGCUGCUCUUUGCUUGACAAGGCUUGGAAGAGAACAGAACUUCUGCGGGAAUUCGUCACAUAUCUGCAUAUUUUAGUGUUAGAACAACACUUUAUGGCUCUGUUUGGCUGGGGUUGGUCUAUAGAGGCCGUUUUUUCCCCUUGAAGAAGCAACUGUUUAGUCCAUCAAUCACAUGUAAUUAGACAAUUGACAUUCCCAUAUGGAAAUGUGACAGCCAGAUCGAAGUUCGGACACAACUGGGGAUGUUAACUUGUAGCAUAUAUCGGACUGCUUGAUUUUAGUUUUAGUUUUGUAAUUGUAGCUUUUGCACAUUUGUAAACGUCAGUAAUUCGAUUAACAUCAGGAAUUCAAUAGUGUUAUAGC
rnacentral:misc_RNA from 1 species